rnacentral:tRNA from 1 species
GGGGUUGUGGUUCAGUGUUAGAGCACUUACCUAGCAUGUGUGAGGCACUGGGUUCAAUUCUCAGCACUUCA